rnacentral:lncRNA from 1 species
UUUAUGGUUAGGUUUAGGUAGGGUUUUAGGGUUAGGUUUAGGAAGGGUUUAGGGUUAGGUAGGGUUUAGGGUUAGGUAGGGUUUUUAGGGUUAGGCAGGGUUUACGGUUAGAAAGGAUUUAGGGUUAAGUAGGGUUUAGGGUUAAACAUGGUUUAGGGUAGGUAGGGUUUAGGGUUAGGUAGAGUUUAGGGUUAGGUUUAGGUAGGGUUUUAGGGUUAGGCUUAGGAAGGGUUUAGGGUUAGGUUUAGGUAGGGUUUUAGGGUUAAGGGUUUAGGGUUAGCAGGGUUUAACGUUAGGUAGUGUUUAGGGUUAGAAAAGGUUUAGGGUUAGGUAGGGUUUAGGGUUAGUAAGGGUUUAGAGUUAGAAAGGGUUUAGGGUUAGGUAGGGUUUAGGAUUAAAUAGAGUUUAGGGUUAGGUAGAGUUUAGGGUUAGGUAGGGUUUAGGGUUGGUAGGGAAUAGGGUUAGGUAGGGUUCAGGGUUAGUAAGGUUUAGGGAUAGGUAGGGUUUAGGGUUAGGUAGGGUUUAGGGUUAGGAAGGGUUUAGGGUUAGGUAGGGUUUAGAAUUAGGUAGGGUUUAGGGCUAGAAAGGGUUUAGGGUUAGGUUAGGUUUAGGGUUAGGGUUAUGUAGGGUUAGGGUUUGGUAGGGUUUAGAAUUCGGCAGGGUUUAGGGUUAGGUUUAGGUAGGGUUUAGAAUUAGGUAGGGUUUAGGGUUAGCAGGGUUUAAGAUUAGAAAGAGUUUAGGGUUAGGUAGGGUUUAGGGUUACGCAGGGUUUAGGGUUAGGUCAGGUUUAGGGUUAGGCAGGGUUUAGGGUUAGGUCAGGUUUAGGGUUAGAAGGAGUUUAGGGUUAGGUAGAGUUUAGGUUACGCAGGGUUUAGGGUUAGGUCAGGUUUAGGGUUAGGCAAGGUUUAGGGUUAGGUCAGGUUUAUGGUUGGAUGGGAUUUAGGGUUUAGAAUUAGGCAGGGUUUAGGGUUAUAAAGGGUUUAGGGUUAGGAUUAGGUAGGGUUUAGAAUUAGGUAUGGUUUAGGGUUAGCAGGGUUUAGGGUUAGAAAGGAUUUAGGGUUAGGUAGGGUUUAGGGUUAGGCAGGGUUUAGGGUUAGAUCGGGUUUAGGGUUAGGCAGGGUUUAGGGUUAGGUCAGGUUUAGGGUUAAAUGGGGUUUAGGGUUAGUAGGGUUUAGGGCUAGGUAGGGUUUAGGGUAGGUAGGGUUUAGGGUAGCUAGGGUUCAGGGUUAGGUAGGGUUCAGGGUUAGAUAGGGUUUAGAAAUAGGUAGGGUUUAGGGUUAGUAGGGUUUAAGGUUAGGUAGGGUUUAAGGUUAGGUAGGGUUUAUGGCUAGAAAGGGUUUUGGGUUAGGUAGGGUUUAGGGUUAGAUAGGUUUAGGUAGGGUUUAGGGUUUGGUAGGGUUUAUGGUUAGUAGGGUUUAAAGUUUGGUUUAGAAUAAUGCUUAGGAUUAUAGGGUUUAAGGUUUGUUUGUUUUUUUGUUUAUGCAUUUAGUAAUGAGUUUUUCGGAUAAAAUUUUAUAUUAAUAUUAUUGAUUCAUAAUUUUUCUUAAA